GAUGAACGCUGGCGGCGUGCCUAAUACAUGCAAGUCGAACGGACAGAUGAGGAGCUUGUGCCUUUGACGUUAGCGGCAGGCGGGAGAGUAACGCGUGUAUAACCUACUUGUAUUACGGGGAUAAUUUCGAGAAACCGGAUAUAAUACGGUAGGAUAUAUUGCACCGCAGGGGGCAAUGGUAAAUGACGGCUUUGCGGUCUGUUAUAGAUGGAUCCGCGCCGGAUUAGCUAGUUGGUAAGGUAACGGCUUACCAAGGCUACGAUGCGUAGCAGAGCUGAGAGGAUGAUCGGCCACACUGGAACUGAGACACGGUCCAGACUCCUACGGGAGGCAGCAGUAGGGAAUCUUGCGCAAUGGGCGAAAGCCUGACCGAGCAACGCCGCGUGAGUGAUGAAGGUCUUCGGGUCGUAAAACUCUGUUAUUGGGGAAGAAAACAUGUGUAAGUAUCUCUGCACGUCUUGACGGUACCUAAUCAGAAAGCCACGGCUAACUUCGUG
rnacentral:rRNA from 1 species